CCAUACUUUAAAUAUAAAUAAAAUAAAGGAAAGUAAGAACUCAACUCCGCUUCAGGAUGGGCCCGCGUCCCAUUAGCUAGUUGGUGAGGUAAAGGCCCACCAAGGCAACGAUGGGUAUCCGGCCUGAGAGGGUGAACGGACACAUUGGGACUGAGAUACGGCCCAAACUCCUACGGGAGGCAGCAGCUAAGAAUCUUCCGCAAUGGACGAAAGUCUGACGGAGCGACGCCGUGUGAAUGAAGAAGGCCGAAAGGUUGUAAAAUUCUUUUGCAGAUGAAGAAUAAGAAGAAGAGGGAAUGCUUCUUUGAA
rnacentral:rRNA from 1 species